UACAGAGGGUGCAAGCGUUAAUCGGAAUUACUGGGCGUAAAGCGUGCGUAGUCGGUUAUCUAAGUCGGGUGUGAAAUCCCCGGGCUCAACCUGGGAAUUGCAUUCGAUACUGGAUAGCUAGAGUUCGGCAGAGGGAAGCGGAAUUUCGGGUGUAGCGGUGAAAUGCGUAGAUAUCCGAAGGAACAUCAGUGGCGAAAGCGGCUUCCUGGACCAGUACCGACGUUCAGGCACGAAAGCGUGGGGAGCAAACAGG
rnacentral:rRNA from 1 species